GAUGAACGCUGACAGAAUGCUUAACACAUGCAAGUCUACUUGAACUUCGGUUUGGGUGGCGGACGGGUGAGUAACGCGUAAAGAACUUGCCUCACAGUUAGGGACAACAUUUGGAAACGAAUGCUAAUACCGGAUAUUAUGAUUUUAGGGCAUCCUAAGAUUAUGAAAGCUAUAUGCGCUGUGAGGGAGCUUUGCGGCCCAUUAGCUAGUUGGAGAGGUAACGGCUCACCAAGGCGAUGAUGGGUAGCCGGCCUGAGAGGGUGAACGGCCACAAGGGGACUGAGACACGGCACUUACUCCUACGGGAGGCAGCAGUGGGGAAUAUUGGACAAUGGACCAAAAUUCUGAUCCAGCAAUUCUGUGUGCACGAUGACGUUUUUCGGAAUGUAAAGUGCUUUCAGUUGGGAAGAAAAAAAUGACGGUACCAACAGAAGAAGUGACGGCUAAAUACGUGCCAGCCGCCGCCGUAAGAC
rnacentral:rRNA from 1 species